GGAAAUGAUACACUAAUUAAAUAGGCAAUUAAUGGAACAUUACAAAGAGAUUUUAUCACGACAGUUAUAUUAAACAAGUAUUACAAAAGAUUCCAAGAGUGUUAAGCAGUUGAUGCACUUUUUGAUAGAGCCCCAGCUGCAAAUAAGAGAUUCCUCCGAGAGAACCGCAAACUGUAAACCGGAGUCGACUUGGUUGGUAGAGUCUUCAAGGAUCUAAGUCUAUUGGCAGUUCCAGUUUUGUUUUCAUCUGUUCUUGGUGGCUUUGUGCUUGAAGUUACGUCCCAUAAUUUCACUGUGCAAUCGGCAG
rnacentral:misc_RNA from 1 species